GUGAAAACUAAAAACUCCAAGGACUUGGCGGUGCUCCAUAUCACCCUAGAGGAGCCUGUCCUAUAAUCGAUACUCCACGUUAAACCUUACCAUUUUUUGAAGAACAGCCUAUAUACCGCCGUCGUCAGCCUACCUUGUGAGAGCAAAAAAGUAAGCAAAAUAGUUAUCAACAAGCACGUCAGGUCAAGGUGUAGCACAUAAAAUGGAAGAGAUGGGCUACAUUUUCUCUACGAGAAUAUACGAAAACUGCAGUGAAACCUGCAAUUGAAGGAGGAUUUAGCUGUAAGACAAACAAGAAAGUUUGCCUAAACCCCGCUCUGGAGCGCGC
rnacentral:rRNA from 1 species